GUUCUCAGUCCCUGGCAAGAGCUGGCCCCAUGGGGAGUGCUUUGUUGAUAGUGCCCAGUGCCCAGCAACCAGGCUGGGUUUGGGAAGGAGGCUGGAGUCUUCAGGAGGAAGGUCCUGCCCAAGAUGGUGCAGAGGUAGAGACGGGGUUUCACCAUGUCAGCCAGGCUGGUCUCCAACUCCUGACCUCAGGUGAUCCACCUGCCUCGGCCUCCCAAAGUGUGGAAUUACAGGUGUGAGCCACCAUGCCCAGCUGAAGAGGAAAUUUGGACACACAGAGAGACAUCAGGGGUGCACAUGCACAGAGGAAAGGCCAUGUGAGGAUGUGAGGACACAGCCAGACAUUUGCAAGCCAAGAAGAGAGGCCUCAGGAGAAAGCAACCCUACCAACACAUUGAUCUUGGACUUCCAGCCUCCAGAACAGUGAGAAAUACAUUUCUGUUGUUUAGACCACCAGUCUGUGGUGUUUGUUACAGCAGCCCUAGCUGACUGAUACACCCAGGAUGAAGCUGAGGUUUCUAGUUUGCACAGCCAGGUGUGUGGGUACCAUGUAUUGAAGGGGGAGUGAUAUAGUUUGGAUCUGUGUCCCUGCCCAAAUCUCAUGUUGAAUUGUAAUACCCAGUAUUGGAGGGAGUGAUGGGAUCAUGGGGGUGAAUUUCUCAUGAAUGGUUUAGCACCAUCCCCUUGGUGCCGCCUUCAUGGUAGUGAGUGUGUUCUCAGGAGAUCUGGUCCCUUAAAAUUGUGUAGCACCUCCCCGCCCCCCGACUCCUACUUGUGCCACAUGAUGUGCAAGCUCCUGCUUUGCCUUCCACCAUGAUUGGAAGCUUCCUGAGGCCUCCCCAGAAGCAGAUGCCAGUGUUAUGCUUCCUGUACAGCCUACAGAACCAUGAGCCAAUUAAACCUCUUUUCUUUGUAAAUUA
rnacentral:lncRNA from 1 species